rnacentral:misc_RNA from 1 species
GAAAAUUGAAUUCACAAAACUUGCAGGAUGUACCAAUGGCAUAUUACAGGAAGAAUUCGAAAGACCAAUCGAAGAGCUCAAAGAAACAGAAUUCCAAGUUAUAUUUGGGACAAAUGCCUAGUAUAAGAAACUAGCAUGUUAGGAUGUUUAUACAACCGAUUAUGCAGUAUACAAAUUGAAGCAUACAUCACCUUCAAAGGGGGUUAUCUGUUAUUUGCCAUGUAUUGUCUACAGAGAUGAGAGAGCUAAAAAACAAUUGAAAAUAUAAUUAAAUCCAGAAAGUUGAAAACUUGUAUGAAAACCCAUCACGACUGAAAUCCUUGCCUGUGCAUAAACCUCCUGAAACACAAUAGAGGUCAAUCAAAGAAAAUCAAUCAAAGAAAAUGAGAAGUGGUAAAAGAGCAGUUGAAGAACGAAAAAGCAAUACGAAACAGGGGAAGAGUAAAAUUACUGCCGAGAAUAUCUAUAUAAACGGUCUCUAAAAGAACUUCACCUAAAAGUGCCGAGUGGCUCUCCAUUAAAUUUUUUUAUAUUUCCCAUUUUUAUCCCUCUUCCCCUAAUAAUUUUACACCACACUUAUUCUUACUAAGUGGUUAGUGUGUAUUUAGUAGAAUUCAAUUAAUCAAACAAAAAAUGGAACUGUUAGAAUUUAAACAUUCAACUCUUAAUAAUUAAGAUGAGUUCUCUCAAACAACCCUUCAAUUCCUAUUCCUCUUGUCGUUUUCCCUCUUCAUCCUCUUAUUCCCUUCAUUUUCUCUUACUAAACAUGCCCAAUAACAUUGAGAGAAAAGUGCAGACCCUCAAGAUAGAAGCAAUACCACUUUCAGCUCACACUAUUCCAGGUUUAGAAGUCAUGUCUCCUGAACUAUUAUUGGCAUCCACUGCUGUGUAAUUCACAAUGUCAGCUUCUGAUUGCAUCUUUCCCAAAAUUGAAAUUUUGAGCUACUUUUUGUAGAUUGCCACCAUUAAAACUCAUCUCAUUGUCAUUCCUCGGUAUCUAUUUCGGAAAAGAAGCAGUACAAAGCAAAGGAUAGACAAUGGCGUUGGUAGCUAUGAAUUUUCAGCCAUGGCCACUACAUAUUUGAUAAAAUGCCACUUAGAUGAAAUAGCUUUGUGUACUAAAAUGAAGUGGCUGAAGUAGAUGGCACUGAAGUAGCUGUGAAUACGCUCUCUCCGUUAUCACUCCAAGGAUCUAAGCUGUUUCAGGCAGAGGUACGACUAGCAUUUCGAAAGAAUGUUUUGAUAUUGUUAAUGUAAAUGUAUGUAUGAUUUCUGAAUGCAGGUCUAC